CUAAUAGGUCCAAACAAUCUUGUAUAAGUAGAUUUUUUAAGAAUGCUUCCCUUUUAAUAGUAUAGAUUAAAAUGAAAAAGGAAAGAAUAUCAAAAAGAUUAAGAAGUUAAUUAAAGAAAAAAAAAAGGAAAUUAGAUUAUGAGGAAGAGGAGGUUAGAUGUCCCAUUCACCACCCGGCAAACCGACUUGGAAUGCCGCUUUCUUGUCCCCUCUCACUCCUCUUUUUCUCGCCUCGUAAUUACCACUACACCCUUC
rnacentral:lncRNA from 1 species